CCAAUAGCGUAUAUUAAAGUUGUUGCAGUUAAAAAGCUCGUAGUUGAAUUUCGGGAUUAGUACGUUGGUCGUGCCUUGGUACGUACUGGUGUAACUGAUUCCUCCCUUCUGACGAACCGUUAUGCCAUUAAUUUGGUGUGGCGGGAAAUCAGGACUGUUACUUUGAAAAAAUUAGAGUGUUUAAAGCAGGCGCGCGCUUGAAUACAUUAGCAUGGAAUAAUGAAAUAGGACGUUAAUCCUAUUUUGUUGGUUUCUAGGAUCGACGUAAUGAUUAAUAGGGAUAGUUGGGGGCAUUAGUAUUCAAUUGUCAGAGGUGAAAUUCUUGGAUUUAUUGAAGACUAACUACUGCGAAAGCAUUUGCCAAGGAUGUUUUCAUUAAUCAAGAACGAAAGUUAGGGGAUCGAAGACGAUCAGAUACCGUCGUAGUCUUAACCAUAAACUAUGCCGACUAGGGAUCGGAUGAUGUUAAUUUUUUAAUGACUCAUUCGGCGCCUUACG
rnacentral:misc_RNA from 1 species